UACGUAGGGUGCGAGCGUUAAUCGGAAUUACUGGGCGUAAAGCGUGCGCAGGCGGUUCGUUAUGUCCGAUGUGAAAGCCCCGAGCUCAACUUGGGAAUGGCAUUGGAAACUGGCGGGCUGGAGUGUGGCAGAGGGGGGUGGAAUUCCACGUGUAGCAGUGAAAUGCGUAGAGAUGUGGAGGAACACCGAUGGCGAAGGCAGCCCCCUGGGCCAACACGUGACGCUGAGGCACGAAAGCGUGGGGAGC
rnacentral:rRNA from 1 species